rnacentral:rRNA from 1 species
UGGGGAAUAUUGCGCAAUGGGGGCAACCCUGACGCAGCAACGCCGCGUGAUUGAAGAAGGCCUUCGGGUUGUAAAGAUCUUUAAUCAGGGACGAAGAAUGACGGUACCUGAAGAAUAAGCUCCGGCUAACUACGUGCCAGCAGCCGCGGUAAUACGUAGGGAGCAAGCGUUAUCCGGAUUUACUGGGUGUAAAGGGCGCGCAGGCGGGCCGGCAAGUUGGGAGUGAAAUCCCGGGGCUUAACCCCGGAACUGCUUUCAAAACUGCUGGUCUUGAGUGAUGGAGAGGCAGGCGGAAUUCCGUGUGUAGCGGUGAAAUGCGUAGAUAUACGGAGGAACACCAGUGGCGAAGGCGGCCUGCUGGACAUUAACUGACGCUGAGGCGCGAAAGCGUGGGGAGCAAACA